AGGGUUUGAUCAUGGCUCAAAUUGAACGUUGGCGGCAGGCUUAAUACAUGCAAGUCGAACGAGAAAGUACCUUCGGGUGCGAGUACAGUGGCGGACGGGUGAGUAACGCGUAGGAAUCUACCUUGUAGUGGGGGACAACUUGGGGAAACUCAAGCUAAUACCGCAUAAUACCUAAGGGUGAAAGUGGGGGAUCUUCGGACCUCACGCUAUUAGAGGAGCCUGCGUUGGAUUAGCUAGUUGGUGAGGUAAAGGCUCACCAAGGCGACGAUCCAUAGCUGGUCUGAGAGGACGAUCAGCCACACUGGAACUGAGACACGGUCCAGACUCCUACGGGAGGCAGCAGUAGGGAAUCUUGGGCAAUGGGCGCAAGCCUGACCCAGCCAUGCCGCGUGUGUGAAGAAGGCCUUAGGGUUGUAAAGCACUUUCAGUCGUGAAGAAAUAUUCAUAGUUAAUAGCUAUGAGUCUUGACGUUAACGACAGAAGAAGAUCCGGCUAACUCCGAAUGCCAGCAGCCGCGGUAAUACGGGGGGAUCGAACGUUAAUCGGAAUUACUGGGCGUAAAGCGCGCGUAGGCGGUUUGUUAAGUGAGAUGUGAAAGCCCUGGGCUCAACCUGGGAACUGCAUUUCAAACUGGCAAGCUAGAGUAUGGUAGAGGCCGGUAGAAUUUCCUGUGUAGCGGUGAAAUGCGUAGAUAUAGGAAGGAAUACCGAUGGCGAACGCAGCCGGCUGGACCAAUACUGACGCUGAGGUGCGAAAGCGUGGGGAGCAAACAGGAUUAGAUACCCUGAUAGUCCACGCCGUAAACGAUGACAACUAGCCGUUGGACUCCUUGAGGGUUUAGUGGCGCAGCUAACGCGAUAAGUUGUCCGCCUGGGGAGUACGGCCGCAAG
rnacentral:rRNA from 1 species